UACGAAGGGGGCUAGCGUUGCUCGGAUUGACUGGGCGUAAAGGGCGCGUAGGCGGUUUGUACAGUCAGACGUGAAAUUCCCGGGCUCAACCUGGGGGCUGCGUUUGAUACGUGCGGACUUGAGUUCGGAAGAGGGUCGUGGAAUUCCCAGUGUAGAGGUGAAAUUCGUAGAUAUUAGGAGGAACACCGGUGGCGAAGGCGGCUAUCUGGACGACAACUGACGCUGAGGCGCGAAAGCGCGGGGAUCAAACAGG
rnacentral:rRNA from 1 species